rnacentral:tRNA from 1 species
AAUAAAGUAAGCUAAAAUAAAGCUAGUGGGUUCAUACCCCAAAAAUGAUCUUAUCCUUUAUUA